UAUCACCAAGGAUUGUUUUUCUCACCCUAUUUCCGGUGGGAGACGGAACGGAUUCAGGCCGGUAGCAUAAACCGGCUUUGAGACAAUAAAGAUAUAAAAAGGACCAG
rfam:Vibrio mangrovi strain CECT 7927 genome assembly, contig: 0002